UUUUACCUUAGCAAACUGAUCACUCCAUAUCUCCCCCAGAGAGCCCUGCGCUCAAUGGACUCAACGCUUUUAGUGGUGCCACGUUUCUCCUUCAAUUGCUACAGACUGCGGGCUUUUUCAGUGCAUGGACCAAAGAGUUGAAGAUAUCUACUUGGUAGUCUAAACCUCAAAAGGAGCUUAGGGAAGUGAUGGCAGUUGCAGGGUAUGAACCAGACGACCAUGCAGAGACCAACGAGGCGACCAAACAGUCCAUCGUGCAUACCACAUAACCAGAAUGCCAGUUUUCUUUAAGGGCAGCUGACAAUAAGAAUUGUCUAUGUAUGCACUACAGAUGCUGUUCAAUAUCUUUUCAUGAGGAAACUUGCUCAAAAAGAUCGCCACAUUUUCUUUAGGGGAAGUUGACAUUAAUCUUUUAGGUUAAUAAUAACCUAUGCAUGCAGUACAGAUGCUGUUCAUCAUCUUUUCAUAAGCAAGCCUGCUCAAGAAGCUGCUGCAUGGAAGUCAAAAUAUGAAUUAUUGCCACCAGUCUUGAAGUCAGCUUGUAAAGAAUGCUAAGAAUUGAAUGAAAAUGCUGUCUUGAUAUCUUGUUUGUGCUGUUAUAUUUGUCUUUUGUGUUGGUUAAUUAUUCCAUGAAUAAAAAAUAAAAAAAAGUUAA